GUCUCUGAGGAGUUCAGUUUUGAACCCUGGAGUGAGACAGCUCCGAUUCCCACCUCAGGAUUGGAAAACCACGAUUCCCUGAGGAUUUUUCCUCAUCAUAUCCAAUACCCAGAGUGACUGAACUGACCCUCUCUCUCCGUAAUUCAAGACCUGUGUGGACUGACUGGACAGUCAGCUGUCUGAGAGGGUUUUACCCUGAAGGGCAGGCUGGGUCAGUCCUGAAGCCUGAAACAUCUCCCUCUGUGCCAGCAACCUAAAGAUAUUUGCCCCUUUAAUACUAGAUUAGGUUAGCCAGCAUAGGCUAACAAGAAGAUAGAUAAGGUCCUAGCUGUUGGCCAAAGCCAAAGUCAACAAAUGUUGACCAUUAAUCUUUGCUUUUAGCUGAGGGAAGCCCUGUUUGACCCCUUCCCUAACCUCCCCCUUGUUAUCCUAUCCUAAAUGAACAGCUGUUGUUCAUCACUUGCAGUCAGAUCUUUAAAGGAAGAAGGAAGGUUGGUGGGUUUUAGAGCCAGGAGGGAGAUCGCUAUCAGAACCAGGGAUGGGGACUUCCUGUUUUUCUCAUCUGGUUCUGGGAGAUGCUGUUCCCCUUCUGAGGUCGGGAGCACGUUUCCUAAAAGCCACUAGAGGGAGAAUUAGGACAAGAAGAACAGAAACAUGCUCAACAGAGAUUGAGAAGAGUCAAAAGAAGAGUUUCAUUUAGAGCAGAGGUCUUUAAUCUGGAGUUCAUGUAUAGAUUUCAGGACAUCUAUGAAUUUGGAUGGGAAAAAAUUACAUCUUUAUUUCAAUAAAAUGCAUUCCCUU
rnacentral:lncRNA from 1 species